GACGUAGGGCGCGAGCGUUGUCCGGAAUUAUUGGGCGUAAAGAGCUCGUAGGCGGUUUGUCGCGUCUGCUGUGAAAACUCGGGGCUUAACUCCGGGCCUGCAGUGGGUACGGGCAGACUAGAGUGCGGUAGGGGAGACUGGAAUUCCUGGUGUAGCGGUGAAAUGCGCAGAUAUCAGGAGGAACACCGGUGGCGAAGGCAGCUCGCUGGAACGGUACUGACGCUGAGGCGCGAAAGCGUGGGGAGCAAACAGG
rnacentral:rRNA from 1 species